rnacentral:rRNA from 1 species
UGGGGAAUAUUGGGCAAUGGGCGAAAGCCUGACCCAGCAACGCCGCGUGAGGGAAGAAGGCCUUCGGGUUGUAAACCUCUGUCCUUGGUGACGAAAAAAAUGACGGUAGCCAAGGAGGAAGCCCCGGCUAACUACGUGCCAGCAGCCGCGGUAAUACGUAGGGGGCGAGCGUUGUCCGGAAUUACUGGGCGUAAAGGGUGCGUAGGUGGCCUUUUAAGUUGGAUGUGAAAUACCCGGGCUUAACUUGGGGGGUGCAUCUAAUACUGGAGGGCUAGAGUGCAGGAGAGGGAAGCGGAAUUCCUAGUGUAGCGGUGAAAUGCGUAGAUAUUAGGAGGAACACCAGUGGCGAAGGCGGCUCUCUGGACUGUAACUGACACUGAGGCACGAAAGCGUGGGGAGCAAACAG